GACGAACCGUGCGAGCGUUGUUCGGAAUCACUGGGCUUAAAGGGCGCGUAGGCGGACAGACAAGUCAGGGGUGAAAGCCCACGGCUCAACCGUGGAAGUGCCUUUGAUACUGCCUGUCUCGAGGGAGGUAGGGGCGUGCGGAACUUCCGGUGGAGCGGUGAAAUGCGUAGAUAUCGGAAGGAACACCGGUGGCGAAAGCGGCGCGCUGGACCUCUUCUGACGCUGAGGCGCGAAAGCCAGGGGAGCAAACGGG
rnacentral:rRNA from 1 species